rnacentral:rRNA from 1 species
AGCGAACGCUAGCGGCGGGCCUAACACAUGCAAGUCGAGCGCAUACCUUCGGGUAUGAGCGGCGGACGGGUGAGUAACGCGUAGGUCAUCUACCCUUUGGUGGGGGAUAACCCAGGGAAACUUGGGCUAAUACCGCACGAGGUCUACGGAUCAAAGCCUUCGGGCGCCAGAGGAUGAGCCUGCGUCGCAUUACCUAGUUGGCGGGGUAACGGCCCACCAAGGGGACGAUGCGUAGCUGGUCUGAGAGGAUGAUCAGCCACACUGGGACUGAGACACGGCCCAGACUCCUACGGGAGGCAGCAGUGGGGAAUAUUGCGCAAUGGGGGAAACCCUGACGCAGCCACGCCGCGUGGGUGAUGAAGGCCUUCGGGUUGUAAGCCCUGUCGGGAGGGACGGAAUUCUUGACGGUACCUCCAAAGAAAGCACCGGCUAACUCCGUGCCAGCAGCCGCGGUAAU